GUCCUACAGAGAGGCUCCCCCGUGUGACGGUAACUUCGGUACAAGGUAUCCUCUUUUGCCUUGGCAGCGGCAGCAGAAUAAGCAGAACUUCGCCAAGCACUCAUCAGUUAAAAAAAAAGCAAAGACAGGGAGGAUCUGUAGUUGAAUUCACAGCUGCCACUUUUCCCUAACAUCCCAAAGACAAUUCUGGAAGCUCCUUUGCCUUGUCUUCCCCUGCCUCCUGUCUUCAUACAGCAGGGGCUGACCCAUGGGGCUGGAAGCAGAGGGUCUGUCUGAGGAGAGGGCAGAGCCAACCCUCUGCUUUCUCUGAAAAAAAACUGCAGGAGCCACAGAGACUGGGAUCAUCCGGAACAGCUGUGCAGCCUCGGUGAACUGGCUGAACCUCUCUGGGCCGACAUUCUCAUUAUGGAAACUAGUGGGGAAGUAGCACUGGGAGUCAGUGGCCAUCGAGGACACAGGACUGAGCUGAGAGCCAGGGUCUCGGGACCAUCAGGAAUCCAUCCAGGCCGGUGGCUAUAGAGGACAGCAUGAUACUGGAAGAUGAGGAGGUCCUGACCCCAUCCCCGCAUGUCAGCUCCACAUGCAACACCUCAGACAGCACC
ensembl:lncRNA